rnacentral:rRNA from 1 species
GACGGAGGGUGCAAACGUUGUUCGGAAUCACUGGGCAUAAAGAGCACGUAGCUGCGCGCUAAGUCAGGUGUGAAAUCCCCCGGCCUCAACCGGGGAACUGCACCUGAUACUGGCGUGCUCGAGGACGGUAGGGGUGAGUGGAACUGCCAGGUGGAGCGGUGAAAUGCGUAGGAUAAUCGUGGAGGAACACCGGUGGCGAAAGGCGGGUCCUCUGGGCCGAUGACUGACGCUGGAGGAGCGAAAGCGUGGGGAGCGAACAGG